rnacentral:tRNA from 1 species
ACCUAGUGCUGGCGCAAUGGUAGCGCGCAAGACUUCUAUUACCUGGAAUCUUGAGGUUGUGGGUUCGAGUCCCACGUAGGGUG